GUGAACGCUGGCGGUAUGCCUAACACAUGCAAGUCGCACGGCAGCACAGUAAGAGCUUGCUCUUACGGGUGGCGAGUGGCGGACGGGUGAGGAAUACAUCGGAAUCUACUUUUUCGUGGGGGAUAACGUAGGGAAACUUACGCUAAUACCGCAUACGACCUACGGGUGAAAGCAGGGGAUCUUCGGACCUUGCGCGAUUGAAUGAGCCGAUGUCGGAUUAGCUAGUUGGCGGGGUAAAGGCCCACCAAGGCGACGAUCCGUAGCUGGUCUGAGAGGAUGAUCAGCCACACUGGAACUGAGACACGGUCCAGACUCCUACGGGAGGCAGCAGUGGGGAAUAUUGGACAAUGGGCGCAAGCCUGAUCCAGCCAUACCGCGUGGGUGAAGAAGGCCUUCGGGUUGUAAAGCCCUUUUGUUGGGAAAGAAAAGCAGCAGGUUAAUACCCCGCUGUUCUGACGGUACCCAAAGAAUAAGCACCGGCUAACUUCGUG
rnacentral:rRNA from 1 species